rnacentral:lncRNA from 1 species
AGAAAAUACAUUUCUGUUGUUUAAGCCACCCAGUCAGUCUGUGGUACUUUGUUAUGGCUGCCCUAGUAGAUGAAUUCAGUAGUCAAAUGUAUAUGACUUUGAAACCACAGAGAAAGGUGAGAUUAUCUGGCUAGAGAUCCAAGGUGAAAGGGGUGGAGAGCUAUGGGGUAAAUCACUUUACACAGUGGGUAUAGGAAGAAGGGCCUCUGAAUAACACAGAGAAGAACUGAGAUAGAACAGAGUUAAAGACGACAAGGGAAGACAGAGUUCUUUGCUUCUUUUAUUUUGGGUUCACAUCUCUUAAUCUCGUGUUUACUUUUGUCAAGGUCAUCCUCAGAAUUUACACUCUCUCUCCUUUUGUGCCCCCAUGGACCAUUAAGAAGGUAUAGGCUUCAGAUCCGAAGAUUGGUCACCACAAAAUUCAAAGGUUCAGGCCGCAACACCCCUGAGUUUACGGGUUUUGGUCUCUUCCUUGUGACCUUCGGCUCCAGGAUGCCGCGCAGCUCCUCACUGCACUGUUUAUCAGAAUGUUGCUCUGCGCACUUGAAAGUUCCCCAAACAAAGGUACAUAAAAACAAACAGAGGCGAAACACAAAUCCCCUCAGCCCUGGAGGAAAAGGCCUUGAAGCAAUUCCAGUGCAGAGGCCACGCGGAGGACAUGCUCCUACCUGUGCAAAUCAGCCACGCCUGGGGCGCCUCCUGGAGUCCAGGCUGCUGGCGAUGGAAUCCAUCAUGUUGCUGAUGUCACGGAUUCUGACAGCUGACAAAUGACAUUCCAAGAACUUAGCCGGAGCCCAGAUUGUGCACUGCUGUGGGAAUUUCUCCUCAUAGAUAUGUCCAACAACUCUGCUCUGGAGAAAAUGCUCAGGUAAUGCAUUCCCAGUGGUAGCUCAGUUCCCAUCAACUCACCACCGGUGCCCUCAUUAGGGUGUUUUUCUUUCUUCAGGUAUUUGUUUUCAGUCCAUCUUCACUUCCCACCACAGUGAAUUUAGUGUCCGUGAAGGGGACUGGGUAGCUCUCCCCUGAGACUACCCUAGGUUUAUUUUUAGCACAGGCAGUCUGGAAAAAUUACCUUCCCUUGCUGACUGCACCAGGACUGUCUUAAUUCUGACACAGAAUUCUGAACCUCUCACAUUGGAUUGAGAAUGAAUGGGUAAUCCAUGCCUUCACUCCACUCUAAUGGAGGAAUCACAUUACAAUGGGGCUAAAAAUUUGCCACAGGUUACCCAGACACCCAAUCAAAAGAGCUUUUCUUUGGUCUGUUGGUCUCAGAUUUGUAAGAUGUUUAACAGUGUAAAAAUUGCAAGUUGGUCUGACUAAAUUGGACAGAUUGCAGGUAAAGCCCUGCUCCCUAAAUCCCAAUUGAUCCCCUGAGCCAUCUGUACUCCCUAAAAGUGUUAUUAUUACUUUCAAGCUACAUGCUCAAAAAUUAUUUCCCUUGGGAACACACACCUAACCCAGACAAAAAGAUUACUACUUUUUUCCUACUCAUUCAAUACCCUUUGUCCCAGCUAUCUUGUUUGUUUCUUUCUUCCUAUGUCUCAUUCAACAUUAUAUUCACAUGCUAUGAUCUCCCCAGUCCCCUGUCGACUAUUAGGUUGAACCACAUGAAAUUGCCAAUAUUCUGCUGGUUUUGACCAAUAAAGGUAGUGAUUUCAUGUAAUUCAAGCAAACCCUAUUAGAAUGAGGUAGCAAAUUGUGAAAAUUCUCAUGCAGAACAAUGGAAGUUAUUGACCAAGUCAACUACAGCUCCAUAAUAUAGAAUCGAG